rnacentral:rRNA from 1 species
GAUGAACGCUGGCGGCGUGCCUAAUACAUGCAAGUCGAGCGAACAGACGAGGAGCUUGCGCCCCUGACGUUAGCGGCUGACGGGUGGGUAACACGUGGAUCACCUACCUAUAAUUCUUGGAUGACUUCGGGAAACCGGUGCUGAUAAUGGCUAAUAUAUUGAACGGCAUGGUUCAAUAGUUAAUGACGGUUUUGCUGUCACUUUUAGAUGGUUCCGGGUUGGAUUAGCUAGUUGGUAAGGUAACGGCUUACCAAGGCAACGAUGCGUAGCCGAUCUGAGAGGAUGAUCAGCCACACUGGAACUGAGACACGGUCCAGACUCCUACGGGAGGCAGCAGUAGGGAAUCUUGGGCAAUGGGCGAAAGCCUGACCCAGCCACGCCGCGUGAGUGAAGAAGGUCUUCGGAUCGUAAAGCUCUGUUAUUAGGGAAGAAAAGCAGCGUGUUAAACUACCGAUGUCUUGACGGUACCUAAACAGAAAGCAACGGCUAACUUCGUG